CGGCACGCCUAACACAUGCAAGUCGAACGAAGUAGCAAUACUUAGUGGCAGACGGGUGAGUAACAUGUAGGUAUCUACCCUAUGGCCUGGAAUAACACGAGGAAACUUGUGCUAAUACCGGAUAAGUCUUUACGGAGAAAGCUUUAUGCACCAUUGGAUGAGCCUGCAAUUGAUUAGUUUGUUGGUAGGGUAAUGGCCUACCAAGACUGUGAUCAAUAGCUGAUUUGAGAGGAUGAUCAGCCACAUUGGGACUGAGACACGGCCCAAACUCCUACGGGAGGCAGCAGUGGGGAAUCUUGCACAAUGGAGGAAACUCUGAUGCAGCGAUGCCGCGUGAGUGAAGAAGGCCUUUGGGUUGUAAAGCUCUUUCGUCGGGGAAGAAAAUGACUGUACCCGAAUAAGAAGGUCCGGCUAACUUCGUGCCAGCAGCCGCGGUAAUACGAAGGGACCUAGCGUAGUUCGGAAUUACUGGGCUUAAAGAGUUCGUAGGUUGUUGAAAUAGUUGGUGGUGAAAUCCCAGAGCUUAACUCUGGAACUGCCAUCAAAACUUUUCAGCUAGAGUUUGAUAGAGGAAAGCAGAAUUUCUAGUGUAGAGGUGAAAUUCGUAGAUAUUAGAAAGAAUACCAAUUGCGAAGGCAGCUUUCUGGAUCAUUACUGACACUGAGGAACGAAAGCAUGGGUAGCGAAGAGGAUUAGAUACCCUCGUAGUCCAUGCCGUAAACGAUGUGUGUUAGACGUUGGAAAUUUAUUUUCAGUGUCGCAGCGAAAGCGAUAAACACACCGCCUGGGGAGUACGACCGC
rnacentral:rRNA from 1 species